rnacentral:tRNA from 1 species
UGCGGCGUAGAGCAGAGGUAGCUCGCCGGGCUCAUUCCCCGGAGGUCGCGGGUUCGACUCCCGCCGCCGCCA